CAAUAGCGUAUAUUUAAGUUGUUGCAGUUAAAAAGCUCGUAGUUGGAUUUCGGGUGGGACGCAGCGGUCUCGCAUUGCGUUUGUACUGCUGCAGCCCUCCUUCUUGCCGGGGGCGGCCUCUCGGACUUCACUGUCUGGGGGUCAGAAUCGGCGAUGUUACUUUGAGUAAAUUAGAGUGUUCAAAGCAAGCUUACGCUCUGAAUAUAAUAGCAUGGGAUAACACGACAGGACUCUGGCCUAUCGUGUUGGUCUAUAGGACCAGAGUAAUGAUUAAGAGGGACAGUCGGGGGCAUUCGUAUUCCGUUGUCAGAGGUGAAAUUCUUGGAUUUACGGAAGACGAACAUCUGCGAAAGCAUUUGCCAAGGAUGUUUUCAUUGAC
rnacentral:rRNA from 1 species